GGCGUGGUAGCCAAGUGGUAAGGCAGCGGUCUGCAAAAUCGCUAUGCGCCGGUUCAAAUCCGGCCCACGCCUCCA
rnacentral:tRNA from 1 species